rnacentral:tRNA from 1 species
CUCCCCGUAGCUCAAUGGAUAGAGCAAACCCGUCCUAAGGGUGAGAUGGGGGUUCGAUUCCUCCUGGGGAGA